rnacentral:misc_RNA from 1 species
GAUGAAGAACGUAGCGAAAUGCGAUAAGUAAUGUGAAUUGCAGAAUUCAGUGAAUCAUCGAAUCUUUGAACGCACAUUGCGCCCGCCAGUAUUCUGGCGGGCAUGCCUGUUCGAGCGUCAUUACAACCCUCAGGCCCCCGGGCCUGGCGUUGGGGAUCGGCGGAGCCCCCCGUGGGCACACGCCGUCCACCAAAUACAGUGGCGGUCCCGCCGCAGCUUCCAUCGCGUAGUAGCUAACACCUCGCGACUGGAGAGCGGCGCGGCCACGCCGUAAAACACCCAACUCUUCUGAAGUUGACCUCGAAUCAGGUAGGAAUACCCGCUGAACUUAAGCAUAUCAAUAAGCGGAGGA